rnacentral:rRNA from 1 species
UACAGAGGGGGCAAGCGUUGUUCGGAAUUACUGGGCGUAAAGGGCGCGUAGGCGGCCUUCUAAGUCGAACGUGAAAUCCCCGGGCUCAACCCGGGAACUGCGUCCGAUACUGGAAGGCUUGAAUCCGGGAGAGGGAUGCGGAAUUCCUGGUGUAGCGGUGAAAUGCGCAGAUAUCAGGAAGAACACCCGUGGCGAAGGCGGCUCUCUGGGACGGUACUGACGCUGAGACGCGAAAGCGUGGGGAGCGAACAGG